rnacentral:RNase_P_RNA from 1 species
AUCGCCGUGUGCCAUAGUGCGCAGGGAGGAAAGUCCGGGCAGCGCGAGCCACCAUGCUUCCUAACGGGAAGGGGCUGUGAGGGCAACCGAACGGCUACAGACAGCGCCGCAGAAAGAGAUACCGCCCACUAUGCUGCCUCGGCGGCAUAAGGCAAGGGUGAAAACGCGAGGUAAGAGCUCACGUCGUGUCCUGGCGACAGGCACGGGGGCAAGCCUCAUGGGCUGAAAGACCAUGUAUACCGGCAAGCCGCAAGGCAGCAGGCAGGCUCGCUUGCAUUGCCGGGGGGUAGGUUGAUAGAGACCGUCGGCGACGGCGGUAGUAGAUUGAUGAUAGAACACGACAGAACCCGGCUUAUAGGUCC